CUAAGCACAGCCAGCUGCUGCUGGGCUUGGUCGGGUUCAUUGGUCGGGUUCAUUGAUCGGGUUCAUUGGUCGGGUUCAUUGAUCGGGUUCAU